GCAUCCUCUAAUCCUCCCUGCAAACACUGAUGAACAGGAGAACACAAAUGCUAGAGCACACCGAGUAACACGCUGGAUGAUCUGUUUCCUUCUUCCCUUGGAUGAGACCACUUACCCUGCUGUGUGCUACAAAAGAUGGGAAGAAAUGCCUUCCCCAGAAGCACUGUGUACAGCAGCUGGGCACCCCAGGCUAGAGCAAUUUGGAGAAACACCUUCCCUACCCACUUCACCUGCUCCUUUCUUGGGGGUUUCUUGCUAUGGCAUGGCACUGUUGGGAAGAGUAUAGAGAAAUAAAAUACUCAACCAAGU